UGGGGAAUCUUGCGCAAUGCGCGAAAGCGUGACGCAGCAACGCCGCGUGCGGGAAGACGGCCUUCGGGUUGUAAACCGCUUUCAGUUGGGACGAAGCUUCGAUCGUUAAUAGCGGUUUGAAGUGACGGUACCUUCACAAGAAGCCCCGGCUAACUACGUGCCAGCAGCCGCGGUAAUACGUAGGGGGCAAGCGUUGUCCGGAAUCAUUGGGCGUAAAGCGCGUGUAGGCGGCUCGAUAAGUCUGCUGUGAAAGUCCAAGGCUCAACCUUGGGAUGCCGGUGGAUACUGUCGAGCUCGAGUCCGGAAGAGGAGUGUGGAAUUCCUGGUGUAGCGGUGAAAUGCGCAGAUAUCAGGAGGAACACCAAUGGCGAAGGCAGCACUCUGGGACGUGACUGACGCUGAGACGCGAAAGCGUGGGGAGCAAACA
rnacentral:rRNA from 1 species